rnacentral:rRNA from 1 species
UACAGAGGGUGCGAGCGUUGUUCGGAAUUACUGGGCGUAAAGCGCACGUAGGCGGCUUUGUAAGUUAGAGGUGAAAGCCCGGGGCUCAACUCCGGAACUGCCUUUAAGACUGCAUCGCUUGAAUCAUGGAGAGGUUAGUGGAAUUCCGAGUGUAGAGGUGAAAUUCGUAGAUAUUCGGAAGAACACCAGUGGCGAAGGCGACUAACUGGACAUGUAUUGACGCUGAGGUGGCGAAAGCGUGGGGAGCAAACAGG